GACGAACGCUGGCGGCGUGCUUAACACAUGCAAGUCGAGCGGUAAGGCCCUUUCGGGGGUACACGAGCGGCGAACGGGUGAGUAACACGUGGGUGACCUGCCCUCAGCUCUGGGAUAAGCCUGGGAAACCGGGUCUAAUACUGGAUAUGACUCCAUGACGCAUGUUGUGGGGUGGAAAGCCUUGUGCGGCUGAGGAUGGGCCCGCGGCCUAUCAGCUUGUUGGUGGGGUGAUGGCCUACCAAGGCGACGACGGGUAGCCGGCCUGAGAGGGCGACCGGCCACACUGGGACUGAGACACGGCCCAGACUUCUACGGGAGGCAGCAGUGGGGAAUCUUGCGCAAUGGGCGAAAGCCUGACGCAGCGACGCCGCGUGAGGGAUGACGGCC
rnacentral:rRNA from 1 species